rnacentral:rRNA from 1 species
AGAUUAUGGCUCAGGAUGAACGCUAGCUACAGGCUUAACACAUGCAAGUCGAGGGGCAGCAUGGGAUAGCUUGCUAUUCAGAUGGCGACCGGCGCACGGGUGAGUAACGCGUAUCCAACCUUCCUGCCAGUAGGGAACAGCCCGGCGAAAGUCGGAUUAAUGCCCUAUGUUCUCAAUGCGGACAUCUAAGUUGAAGGAAAGAUUCAUCGCUGGCAGAUGGGGGAUGCGUCCGAUUAGCUUGCCGGCGGGGUAACGGCCCACCGGGGCGACGAUCGGUAGGGGUUCUGAGAGGAAGGUCCCCCACACUGGUACUGAGACACGGACCAGACUCCUACGGGAGGCAGCAGUGAGGAAUAUUGGUCAAUGGGCGUAAGCCUGAACCAGCCAAGUAGCGUGCAAGGGAUGACGGCCCUACGGGUUGUAAACUGCUUUUAUGCGGGGAUAAAGUGCGGCACGUGUGCCGCUUUGCAGGUACCGCAUGAAUAAGGACCGGCUAAUUCCGUGCCAGCAGCCGC